CUGCAUUGUACAUUAACUGGGCCCUGUGGCUGUAUAGAACAUUUUUCAAUAAAAAAGAUGGCAUCAACCCAGUUAUACUUGUGUUUAUAUGGAAUACAUAAUUUAUCUAUAUUCAUUUGCUGGUACUGUAUUAUAUGUAAUAACUCAACACCUACAGUAAAAGGUGACCAUGUAUACUCCCAGCCAGCAACAGAGUGUUCAUGACUCACCGUGGGGCUAUAUAACAGUGAUGACAAAGAGAACUGUUUUAAUUAAAGUGUGUUUUUUUUAUUGCCUCAAGGUUAUUUGGUACUGAGAAUACAGAAUAGACAUGUGGUAACAUUGUUAAGUGUUUC